rnacentral:rRNA from 1 species
GACGAACGCUGGCGGCGUGCUUAACACAUGCAAGUCGAACGGAAAGGCCCUGCUUUUGUGGGGUGCUCGAGUGGCGAACGCGUGAGUAACACGUGAGUAACCUGCCUUGACUUUGGGAUAACUUCAGGAAACUGGGGCUAAUACCGGAUAGGAGCUCCUGCUGCAUGGUGGGGGUUGGAAAGUUUCGGCGGUUGGGGAUGGACUCGCGGCUUAUCAGCUUGUUGGUGGGGUAGUGGCUUACCAAGGCUUUGACGGGUAGCCGGCCUGAGAGGGUGACCGGCCACAUUGGGACUGAGAUACGGCCCAGACUCCUACGGGAGGCAGCAGUGGGGAAUAUUGCACAAUGGGCGGAAGCCUGAUGCAGCAACGCCGCGUGCGGGAUGACGGCCUUCGGGUUGUAAACCGCUUUCGCCUGUGACGAAGCGUGAGUGACGGUAAUGGGUAAAGAAGCACCGGCUAACUACGUG